rnacentral:rRNA from 1 species
GAUGAACGCUAGCUACAGGCUUAACACAUGCAAGUCGAGGGGCAGCAUGAAAGGAACUUCGGUUCUUUUUGAUGGCGACCGGCGCACGGGUGCGUAACGCGUAUCGAACCUGCCUCAUACUCGGGGAUAGCCUUGCGAAAGUAAGAUUAAUACCCGGCGGUCUCGGAUGGCCGCAUGACUAUCCGAGUGAAGAUUUAUCGGUAUGAGAUGGCGAUGCGUCCCAUUAGCUUGUUGGUGGGGUAACGGCUCACCAAGGCAUCGAUGGGUAGGGGUUCUGAGAGGAAGGUCCCCCACAUUGGAACUGAGACACGGUCCAAACUCCUACGGGAGGCAGCAGUGAGGAAUAUUGGUCAAUGGACGAAAGUCUGAACCAGCCAAGUAGCGUGCAGGAAGACGGCCCUCUGGGUUGUAAACUGCUUUUAGUUGGGAAUAAAAAGAGGGACGUGUCCCUUAUUGUAUGUACCAUCAGAAAAAGGACCGGCUAAUUCCGUGCCAGCAGCCGCGGUAAUACGGAAGGUCCAGGCGUUAUCCGGAUUUAUUGGGUUUAAAGGGAGCGCAGGCGGCGGCGUAAGUCAGUUGUGAAAUCGUGCGGCUUAACCGUGCAAUUGCAGUUGAUACUGCGUCGCUUGAGUGCACACAGGGAUGUUGGAAUUCAUGGUGUAGCGGUGAAAUGCUUAGAUAUCAUGAAGAACUCCGAUCGCGAAGGCAUAUGUCCGGAGUGCAACUGACGCUGAGGCUCGAAAGUGUGGGUAUCAAACAGG